CCUUCAGUCUCAGCUUAAAGGACCCCCAGAACUUUAAUGUGGAUGUACUUGCUUUGUUUCUGAAAAAGUAAGUGCUUCCAUGUUUUGGUGCUGGUGAAUCCUGCUCUCUCAACAUGUAAAA
rnacentral:precursor_RNA from 14 species